rnacentral:lncRNA from 1 species
AUAUUAUAAGUGAGAUUUUUCUUUCAAUUAUAUGAUAAGAAAUUUGUAUCCUAAGUAAGCUAUGUAUGCACUGCUUCAUGUAGUAUACAUUUGUAUGUAUCUUGAGAACUCAGGAAGCAUAUAAUCUUGUGUCGAUCAUGAUAUUUUCCUGAUUUUGAUUUUCAAGUAUGUGUAUUGUAUCUUGUUCAUAUUGAGAAACCUCUUCGGAGAUCUUGCUUGUUUAAAUGGUUGCGACUAUCUCAAAUUUCAUCUUGUUAUUAGUGUUCAAUUUUCCACCUUGUAGUUCUCUCUCGUAUUUUUUCUUCCUCUAGUAUGAUGUAAUUAAAAU